UCGGGAAUUUUGGGCAAUGGGGGAAACCCUGACCCAGCAACGCCGCGUGAAGGAUGAAGUAUUUCGGUAUGUAAACUUCGAAAGAAUAGGAAGAAUAAAUGACGGUACUAUUUAUAAGGUCCGGCUAACUACGUGCCAGCAGCCGCGGUAAUACGUAGGGACCAAGCGUUGUUCGGAUUUACUGGGCGUAAAGGGCGCGUAGGCGGCAAUUCAAGUCAUCUGUGAAAUCUCCGGGCUUAACUCGGAACGGUCAGAUGAUACUGCUUUGCUAGAGUGCAGAAGGGGCAAUCGGAAUUCUUGGUGUAGCGGUGAAAUGCGUAGAUAUCAAGAGGAACACCUGAGGUGAAGACGGGUUGCUGGGCUGACACUGACGCUGAGGCGCGAAAGCCAGGGGAG
rnacentral:rRNA from 1 species